rnacentral:tRNA from 1 species
UCAGUAUAUAUUUUAAUUUAAAAUAUUAAUUUUGGAAAUUAAUGAUAAUAUAUUUAUAUUUAUGCUGAA